rnacentral:rRNA from 1 species
UACGUAGGGUGCAAGCGUUGUCCGGAAUUAUUGGGCGUAAAGAGCUCGUAGGCGGUUUGUCGCGUCUGCUGUGAAAACUCGGGGCUUAACUCCGGGCCUGCAGUGGGUACGGGCAGACUAGAGUGCGGUAGGGGAGACUGGAAUUCCUGGUGUAGCGGUGAAAUGCGCAGAUAUCAGGAGGAACACCGGUGGCGAAGGCGGGUCUCUGGGCCGUAACUGACGCUGAGGAGCGAAGGUCAGGGGAGCAAACGGG